UACGUAGGGUCCGAGCGUUGUCCGGAAUUAUUGGGCGUAAAGAGCUCGUAGGCGGUUUGUCGCGUCUGCUGUGAAAUCCCGAGGCUCAACCUCGGGCCUGCAGUGGGUACGGGCAGACUGGAGUGCGGUAGGGGAGACUGGAAUUCCUGGUGUAGCGGUGAAAUGCGCAGAUAUCAGGAGGAACACCGGUGGCGAAGGCGGGUCUCUGGGCCGUAACUGACGCUGAGGAGCGAAAGCAUGGGGAGCGAACAGG
rnacentral:rRNA from 1 species